GACGAACGCUGGCGGCGUGCUUAACACAUGCAAGUCGAACGGAAAGGCCCUGCUUUUGUGGGGUGCUCGAGUGGCGAACGGGUGAGUAACACGUGAGUAACCUGCCCUUGACUUUGGGAUAACUUCAGGAAACUGGGGCUAAUACCGGAUAGGAGCUCCUGCUGCAUGGUGGGGGUUGGAAAGUUUCGGCGGUUGGGGAUGGACUCGCGGCUUAUCAGCUUGUUGGUGGGGUAGUGGCUUACCAAGGCUUUGACGGGUAGCCGGCCUGAGAGGGUGACCGGCCACAUUGGGACUGAGAUACGGCCCAGACUCCUACGGGAGGCAGCAGUGGGGAAUAUUGCACAAUGGGCGGAAGCCUGAUGCAGCAACGCCGCGUGAGGGAUGACGGCCUUCGGGUUGUAAACCGCUUUCGCCUGUGACGAAGCGAGAGUGACGGUAAUGGGAAAAGAAGCACCGGCUAACUACGUG
rnacentral:rRNA from 1 species